rnacentral:rRNA from 1 species
UACGGAGGGUGCGAGCGUUAUUAGGAAUUACUGGGCGUAAAGCGCGUGUAGGCGGCAGGGCAAGUCUGGUGUGAAAGCCCGGGGCUCAACCCCGGAAGUGCAUUGGAAACUGCUCUGCUUGAGUACCGGAGAGGAAGGGGGAAUUCCCGGUGUAGCGGUGAAAUGCGUAGAUAUCGGGAGGAAUACCAGUGGCGAAGGCGCCCUUCUGGACGGUAACUGACGCUGAGGCGCGAAAGCGUGGGGAGCAAACAGG